UACGGGGGGGGGCAAGCGUUGUUCGGAAUUAUUGGGCGUAAAGGGCGCGUAGGCGGUGCGGCAAGUCUCCUGUGAAAUCUCCGGGCUUAACUCGGAGCCUGCAGGAGAAACUGCCGUGCUUGAGUGUGGGAGAGGUGAGUGGAAUUCCCGGUGUAGCGGUGAAAUGCGUAGAUAUCGGGGAGGAACACCUGUGGCGAAAGCGGCUCACUGGACCACAACUGACGCUGAGGCGCGAAAGCUAGGGGAGCAAACAGG
rnacentral:rRNA from 1 species